AGAUGCGAGGGCGAUCUGGCUGCGACAUCUGUCGCCCCAUUCUCUGAUCGCCAGGGUUGGUUGGCUCCUCUGGCUGGCUGUUGGGGGUCCCCGCCCUCCCACAGGGCUCCUUGCGCACCCCUCAAGAGGCUGUGUGCUGGGUCAGGGAGGAUGAGCGCCCCGAGAGAGGAGGACCAUUCCUCGGCCGAGGGCGUAUGAGGAGCACCCCGAGAGA
rnacentral:sRNA from 1 species